rnacentral:rRNA from 1 species
AUAGAUACCCUGGUAGUCCUAGCCAUCAACUAUGGAUACUGGAUAUUCCUGCACUCAUGUGGGAGUGUCGAAGCCAACGCGUUAAGUAUCCCGCCUGGGGAGUACGGUCGCAAGAUUGAAACUCAAAGGAAUUGACGGGGGCCCGCACAAGCGGUGGAGCAUGUGGUUUAAUUCGACGCAACGCGAAGAACCUUACCUGGGCUUGAACUGUCGGUAUAGGGACCCGAAAGGGCGACGAUCCCGGGCAACCGGGAAGCCGAUAGAGGUGCUGCAUGGCUGUCGUCAGCUCGUGUCGUGAGAUGUUGGGUUAAGUCCCGCAACGAGCGCAACCCUUGUCUUUAGUUGCCAGCGAGUCAUGUCGGGCACUCUAAGGAGACUGCCUCGGAUAACGAGGAGGAAGGUGGGGAUGACGUCAAGUCAGCAUGGCCUUUAUGUCCAGGGCUACACACGUGCUACAAUGGGCGGUACAGAAGGACGCGAGACCGCGAGGUCAAGCCAACCCUUAAAACCGUUCUCAGUUCGGAUUGCAGG